UAAAAUUAUUUUUAUUGAAGUUAUACCAAGGCUAGAAUUCCAAGGUGGGAGUCCUAACUUCUAAGAUUUAAGAUAUUAGAACCCUGAUGCCAUGAUUUUAGUGACAGGACUUCUUGACUUAUCUCUGAUUGGUCAAUUAGAGGAAAGAGGUAAUGAAAGUGAAUGUGAUAUGAUUAGCAUUUUCAAAAUAACUGUUAGAGACACCUUUUAGCUAGGAAAAAAGUGAUACAAUGGGAAAAAAUUGGUAGAGAACUAAUGUCAAAUUAAGGAGGAAGAAAUUAAAAAAAAAAUUAAAAAUAUGUCUGUCAUAUCUCUAUUAGGUGGUCAGAGAAUAUGCAAAAUUCCACCAUGAGCAACAUGGGACCUUGCUCCAGGCUGAAUAAGGUAAAUGAACUUCAAUUUUUUAAAAUGGGCCAUUUUAUGUAUCUUGAAAAUUCCAUUAAUCAUCUUAAAGGGGUCUUAUGUUACUUUAUUAUACUUCUUUAUGGCUUGAGAAGUUUAAUGAGAAUAAUAUUAUUCUGUAGUUUUUAGCCUGAAGACAGCUGAAUCUCCACUUUUUCUUUAUUGUCCCGUGGCAGACUCGCAGCUGAAGAGUGGGGAACUGGGAAGAACCUAUGUCUCCCUUCUUGUGGUAGGAAUACAACUUGUCGGCUUUUCCAGCUACAAAGCAAUUCCUGGUCCCAACCCGCAUGACAAGUUGAUGGGAAAGUGCUUUUUCUUUCUAACUGUCGUAAAAGCCCAAUCAAUAUUGAAUGGAAGAGAAUUCCCUUUUGGUAGAAGGAAUCAAGUCCUUCCAGGGUGAUGGCAAUAAAUGGUAGUUCUCUCCCUUCCCUCUGUAUUAAAGCAUAAUGCUUCCUAAUGUCCAUAAUUGUGUGAAUUUCUCUUUUCGGUUGGAUAUUUUCCUCCAAUUUUAUGGGUGAUGAAAUAUUAUUAAAAUAAUACUGU